GAUGAACGCUGGCGGCGUGCUUAACACAUGCAAGUCGAACGGAAAGGCUCCUGCUUGCAGGGGUACUCGAGUGCCGAACGGGUGAGUAACACGUGGGUGAUCUGCCCUGCACUUCGGGAUAAGCCUGGGGAACUGGGGCUAAUACCGGAUAGGACGAUGGUUUGGAUGCGAUUGUGGAAAGAUUUUCGGUGUGGGAUGAGCUCGCGGCUUAUCAGCUUGUUGGUGGGGUAAUGGCCUACCAAGGCGUCGACGGGUAGCCGGCCUGAGAGGGGGGACGGCCACAUUGGGACUAAGAGACGGCGCAGUCUCGUACGGGAGGCAGCAGUCGGGAAUAUUGCACAAUGGGCGCAAGCCUGAUGCAGCGACGCCGCGUGGGGGAUGACGGCUUUCUGGUUGUAAACUCCUUUCGCUAGGGACGAAGCGCAAGUGACGGUACCUGGAGAAGAAGCACCGGCUAACUACGUG
rnacentral:rRNA from 1 species